AGGUAAGAAUUAAUUUGUUUAAAUUAUAAUUAAAAAAUUUUUAAAUGAAAUAAAUAUAUUUAAUGGGGGUUAAAGUAUAUUUAUAGAAAUAAUUAAAAAUUUUAUAGUUAAUUAGUAUUGUGAAAGAAUUUUGAAAUAUUUGAAAAUAAAUUUAUUAAUAAGUAAUUUUAAUUUAAUGUAUCUUGUGUAUCAGAGUUUAUUAAAUAAUUAUAUUUAAUUAAAUAAUUCUCGAAUUUAAAAGAGAUAAAUAAUUAUUAAAGUUAUUGUUGCAUAAAUAUUUUAAAUAAUUAUUUUGAAAUGAGAUGUUAAUCGUUUUUAAAUAUAUCUAGUUUUUUUUGAAAUAAAUUUAAUUUAAAAUUUAUUUUAAAAUUAAAAUAAUUAAUUAUUUUAAUUUUAAAAUAAAUUUAAUAAUUUAAGGGAUAAGCUUUAAAUUAAAAUAUUAUAAUUAUAUUUUAAUUUUGAAAAUUUUAUAAUUUAUAUUGUUAAUAAAAUUUAAUUUAUUAUAAAUAAUUUCAUAUUAAUUAAAAUUUAAUAUAAUUUAAUUUUUUAAAAAAAAAUAUUUUUUAAUAAGGAAAAUUUAGGUAUAAUGAUAAAAUUAGUAUAUUUAAUAAUAAAUUAAUAAAUAAAUUGAUUAAUUAAUAAAAAGGAAUUCGGCAAAUAUAUAUAUUCACUUGUUUAUCAAAAACAUGUCUUUUUGAAAUUAAUUUAAAGUCUAAUCUGCCCACUGAUAAUUUAUUAAAGGGCUGCAGUAUUUUGACUGUACAAAGGUAGCAUAAUCAUUAGUCUCUUAAUUGGUGACUUGUAUGAAAGAUUGGAUGAGAUAUAAACUGUCUCUUUAUUAUUUAUAGAAUUUAAUUUUUUAGUUAAAAAGCUUAAAUAAUUUAAAAAGACGAGAAGACCCUAUAGAGUUUUAUAUAUAUUUAAAUAAUUAUUAUUUAUUAGUUGAUAAAUUUUUAUUUAAAUAUAUAUUUUAUUGGGGUGAUAAAAAAAUAUAAUAAACUUUUUUUUUUUUUAUCAUGAAUAAGUGAUUAUUUGAUCCAUUUUUAAUGAUUAUAAGAUAAAAUUACCUUAGGGAUAACAGCGUAAUUUUUUUUUUUAGUUCAUAUAAGAAGAAAAGUUUGCGACCUCGAUGUUGGAUUAAGAUAAAAUUUAAACGCAAAAGUUUAAAAUUUUGAUCUGUUCGAUCAUUAAAAUCUUACAUGAUCUGAGUUCAAACCGGUGUAAGCCAGGUUGGUUUCUAUCUUUUAAUAAAUAAAAUAUUUUAGUACGAAAGGAUUAAAUAUUUAAAUUAAAUUUAUAAUAAAUGAUUAUUAAUAAUUUAAUUAUAAUAAAAUUAUGAUUUAUUUAUGA
rnacentral:rRNA from 1 species